ACACGUAUGAAAGACAAGCUGAUAGACUUUUCUCAAUAAUGUAAGUGGUGGUGCAUGGCCGUUCUUAGUUCGUGGAGUGGUUUGUCUGGUCUAUUCCGAUAACGAGCGAGACCCCAGCGUUCUAACUAGGGGCGUCCAGCCCGGCUCCGGACCCGCAAGGGACCGGUUCUAGCUGGCGCCUCGUAAAAAGCGUAGCUUCAUAGACGGAUCAGGGCCGAUAAGGUCCUUGAAAUGGGUUAAUAACAGGUCAGUCAUGCCCUUAGAUGUUCCGGGCCGCACGCGCGUUACAAUGGAAGGUAAAAAAGGUGUUCUUCUUUUUACCUGAGCUUAAUCGGUACCGAAAGGUGGCCGGUAUUCCCUAAUACCUCCCUUGACUGGGAUAGUCACUUGUAAUUAUGUGUCUUGAACGAGGAAUUUUUAGUAGUCGGCAGGUCAUUAGCCUGCGACGA
rnacentral:rRNA from 1 species